CACCAAAACGGACACACUGCAGGAGAGAGGAAUACUGUACUCAUUAAGGUCUUUCACUGACGGUGAAGGUCAGUUCACAUUCACCAGAAGAACCACUAAACUCGAACAGUACACUAGUGUAUCAGUUGUUAUCAUAGUGUUUUUUUAGUGGGUAGGUAAGUUUUUUUAAUGUCUGUUUCAGGUGGUCUAAAAGACAAAACAGAUGAGUUAAUUAAGUUGACUGAGAUCGUAAAUAGUGCCAAGACUGAUACUGGCCAGAUCAGGUCUUAAUUAAACAAUUAACUUGGCUAAUUGGUGCUUCCGUUGCAAUAAACAAUUACCCAGUGCCGUAUGAACAAUAAUGCUAAUUAAUAUUGAGUUAAUGGCGUAUUGUGUUGCUAAAAUUUGCAAUUCCUUGUUCAUCCAUAAUAAAUACGAGAGGAAAUGAACUCUCCGGACUCAUGUUUAAGUUAUCUUCGUUUGCAAGUGCGAGAAUAAAUCAGCAUAGUAAUAUCAAGAAGACCAACAUUGAAAUUCGCGUAUUGUUUUUGAGGUUGUUGAGGAGUCGGCAGCCACCUGUGACUGAUGCGCGUGGGAGUUCGCACAACCCCAUCGCUCCGAGUAAUUAGAGUAUACGGGGGCGGCUUAAGUUCGUAAUUAGUCCCAUCUGGCGGCGGCUCCAGCAGCGGCCAAGUAAUCGACGAGUGGCGCCCUCACACAUGAGACUUCUGUAAUGCACUCCGCCUAAUUGCUCAUCUCUAUAAACCCCGGAUUACAUUCGUACUCAUACAACCCCCCCCCACAACCCUUCAGCAGUCCUAGUUUCAGCGAUAACGGCCUCACUCCUUUUCAUAUUAAUGUCCUCGAGCACGGCCGCCGUUAUCUGGACGUCCGCGAUGCUACACUCUGCGACGUUGCGCCCCAACAGAUUACGGAUUUAAAAUUGCCCCAUUUAAAUAUGUAAAUUGAAGCGCCAUUAGCGCAAUUGUAGAGGGACGUUAGUCCGGACUUAAUGAUUUUUUUUUUCAUAAAUUAAACAAUUAUGGAAAGACAACUGAAUGGUGCGAGGAUGGCUCUAUGGAGAUUAUUUCCAAAUCGAUUUUUUAACUUUUAUCCACCAGCUUUAGUAGGGUAAGUUCAUAACUAUUUAUUCGAGGGUUAAUACACAAGAGAUGAGCUUUUCUCCAAUCAAGUUUUUUUGUUAAAGAUUUGUUGCUACUGAAAUUUAAUUGGGCAUUAAGUCAAAAACAAACCAAUUAAUAUUUUUUAAUAUAUGAUUUAAAAAAGUCAGGAAAAAGUAUAGAAGAAGUUGAAAAAUGUAUUUCUGAAAUAAGAAUAAAUACACCUAGUUCUUGGUGUUCCACUUCUUCCGGGAGUUUAUCCGGUUAGCAUUUCAAGGUUGUAUCCGAUCAGGAAAAAAAUUAUUCACAAUUAGUCACAACGUUUUUAACCAAAAGCGAUUUCGAAAAAUAACAAGUUACAAUCAUAAUCGUCUAUCACUGGUAACUACCUACAUACAUUACUAUUCAUUUAAUUUUUUUCAGGCUCCAGCUGAUUGUUAAACUAAUCGAAACUCAACAGCUGUAUUAGAAGUUGUCUGCUGAAACAAAAUAACUCAUUAAAAUUAUUAGUUUGCAAGAGUGGUUUUGGAAUAUUUAUGCCACCCACAUAUAUUUUUACUCACGAGAACAUCAAGAAACAUUCCUAGACGAGGCUCCUGUACGAGGCGUAGGUGUAUCUGGAAAAUGUAGUUCUUUCAUAUUUUUAAGAGCAAUAAACCGUCCAUCGUUUUAGAUUUAUCA